rnacentral:rRNA from 1 species
UACGAGGGGUCCUAGCGUUGUUCGGAAUCAUUGGGCGUAAAGCGGGUGUAGGCGGACCAUUAAGUCAGAUGUGAAAGCCCCAGGCUCAACCUGGGAAGUGCAUUUGAAACUGGCGGUCUUGAGUACAGCAGAGGAAGGUAGAAUUCCAAGUGUAGUGGUGAAAUACGUAGAUAUUUGGAGGAACACCGGUGGCGAAGGCGGCCUUCUGGGCUGUUACUGACGCUGAGACCCGAAAGCGUGGGGAUCAAACAGG